AGUUGGAUUUUCCGAAUCACUGGCCUAGGAGCCAAUUCAUUGUAGGUCUUUCUGGGUUUCGAAGGUCGCGGGUUUAACAAUCCAAAUCUAUGCUUGAUCACCACCGGAUUCGGAGAGGUGGUGGGAGGAAUGUAAUUGUAAUUUUUCCUCAAAGAGAUCGGUCGGAAAAGGCUGGGUGGCUUUGGACGAGCGGUCGUUGUCGUCGUGGUUGUGGUUGUGGUUGUAGUCGUUGGUUCCGUCGUCGUCGUAGUUGUGGUUGUAGUUGUGGUCGUUGGUUCCGUCGUCGUCGUCGUCGUCGUGUCGUUCGGACGGCACGGGGGAUAUGGUGAGUUUCGACACCUUGCCCUGAUUGGUGGACUGGAGGGCUUCCAGCGGUCUUCGUUCUUCGUGCUGCUCCCCGACUUCGUGGUACUCUUGAGUCUCCCUGGGAUUGUUACUGUGCAGCGUGAAGUGUUCGGUGGUACUCGGUAUCCCAUGAUUGUGGAAAAGGGGAUUUAUGAAGGAGGGAUUAUUGGCGUUACUGUUCAGCAGCGUUUGGAUAGUCGAGGAGACGCCGUGAAACAACGGAGUCACGGUCGCCGGGUCGCUGUGAAUUAUCUGAGGAUUCGAGUUCGCGUCGCCGUAUCUAACUUGGUGAACCUGUGGCUGAUUCGUCGUUGAACUGACCCCCUGAUUGCUGAACAGCUGGAAGGAGGUGGCUUGAUUCGCGGCCUGGUCACCGUUGUGGAAUAUAUACUGGUGAUGGUAUCCGGAAUUUUUGUCGUCGUAAAGCGAUUUCGACUGGCUCGUCUGAGGUGUCGAGUAAAGGGGCUGUGUCUGAUAGUGUUGGGAGUACCCGGUGUUCUGUUGAUGAUAAACGGUCGUCGCUACGGUCGCCGGAGGAUUCGUUGGUCGUUGGGUGGUGGUGGUACUCGACGUCGUCGUCGGCCUGGGGGUGGUUGAAUGUUGGUCUUCGAUCGAUUCCGUCGGUUCGCCUUCUUCGUCGGAGACUUCGUGGAGGCU
rnacentral:misc_RNA from 1 species